AGUUCAGUGAAUUUGCACUAUCAUAAUAAAGGGAUUUAGAAAUUUUAAUUAUAUUUAGUUUUUAAAUACUUUGAUCUUGUAGUUUUGCAGUCCUGGGGAAAAAUGUGUUUUGCUUAACUUUUCAAGUAAAUAAAAUUAAAAACAAAGCAAAAAAAAAAAAAAAAACAAAAACAAAACCACAACAUAAAUAAUGCCCAUUUUACAGGUGACAUUUUAAACAAUGAAAACACCAACGGCUUUGACUGACAACUGGGGCAUUGGUCCAUAAAAACCCUUUCUAAAAA
rnacentral:lncRNA from 1 species